CCUACGGGAGGCUGCAGUGGGGAAUAUUGGACAAUGGGGGGAACCCUGAUCCAGCCAUGCCGCGUGUGUGAAGAAGGCCCUCGGGUUGUAAAGCACUUUCAGCGAGGAAGAACACCUGGUGGUUAAUACCCAUCAGGAAAGACAUCACUCACAGAAGAAGCACCGGCUAACUCCGUGCCAGCAGCCGCGGUAAUACGGAGGGUGCGAGCGUUAAUCGGAAUUACUGGGCGUAAAGCGCGCGUAGGUGGCUUGAUAAGCCGGUUGUGAAAGCCCCGGGCUCAACCUGGGAACGGCAUCCGGAACUGUCAAGCUAGAGUGCAGGAGAGGAAGGUAGAAUUCCCGGUGUAGCGGUGAAAUGCGUAGAGAUCGGGAGGAAUACCAGUGGCGAAGGCGGCCUUCUGGACUGACACUGACACUGAGGUGCGAAAGCGUGGGUAGCAAACAGGAUUAGAUACCCCUGUAGUC
rnacentral:rRNA from 1 species